UUUCUUUUUUAGUUAUUUACUUUUUCAAUGUGCUUCCCAACGAGAAGGAGACAAUGCAUUCGUAUGUCAAUCCAUAUCAACUUUCGAUACCAUUGACUGUGCCUACCAUGGUGACCACAGGUAAGGGGGAAUCAGGGUUUGAUUCUGUACAGGGACCCUGACAAAUGGCUACCACAUGCAAUGAAGGCAGCAGGCGCGCAAAUGACCCACUCCCGACGCAGGAAGGUAGUGAUGA
rnacentral:rRNA from 1 species